UGCUGUGCUAGGAGUUGUGCGAGCGCCGGGCGGGCGGGGCCGCGGCUGGCGGGCCUCCGUGGGGAGCCGAUUCUGCGGAGGGCGGCCUCCGGGGAGGUGUCUCGGGGGGCAGCCCUCCUAAGGGGUGUGCCGUGGUGGGCCGAGUCGGGACUUGGGGCCCGGAGGCCGGCGGCGUCCCUGCCUGGCAGGGCCGUCACGGGAGCUCGUGAGGCGAUGGGGGCAGAUCGGGCUGGAGGAAGCGGCUGCAGGAUUUCGGUGUGACGUCAGUGUGACGCCAGAUGCGCAGAGCUCGGGGAGGGGUGAGGGUUUCGCUCCCAAUCGGUGCCCUGCCCGGGGCCCAAUAGUGGUGGCUUCCCGGCAGGAUGGCGCAGGAGCUCUGGAGGCAAGGAACACGGCCGCCUCCUCCCCCGCGGGAGUGGAAGCCAGGGGACUGGCCGCGGCCCUGCCUGUGGGUUUCUGUCGUGGGGGCGGAUGGGCAGGGCUUCAGCUGUUAGUCUCCGCCGCCUCGGGCUGAUCCGUUAGCUGGGAGAGUCGGCUUUCCUCAGCAGUUGGCAGAACCCAUUUCCUGGGUUAUCGCCAGCCCUAGCGGCCCUUGAGAGGUUCUUGUGCCUGUGCACUGGGGGGGGGGGGGGGGGGGUCUUCCUUUCAGAUGCUUCUCGGCCCGGCAGGGCUCCUGUGAUCAAACCAGGCCACCAGGGUAAUCCAUGACCAUAAUCAUGUCUUCUGCGAAGUCGCUCUUGCGUAGCUGGCGUAUCCACAGGUUUCUAGGCUUGCGAUGAGACCUGUAGUGGUGGGAUGUUCCGUCUUCCACAGAUUAAGUCUGUUCUUGCGAGCAGGAUCCCUCAUAAAGUGAGGUGAGAAAAACAUUGUGUAAAGAAGCAUCGUUUGGUUCAGUUUGUAACAAAGUCAAGUACACAUGUGUGCACGGACUAAUCUGUAGGGUUUGUCAGGCGGCCAAGGCCACCAUCCCCAGGGACCAGCCCUUUACGUGCUAUCCUUACUUCCUGCCCUUCUCCCAAGAGCUUGGUCUCUACUCUGUGCCUGUCACCCAGAACACGUAGGGUCCUCGUGGUCUCGCCCUGCAGCCCCUCUUUCUUCUCCGGGAAACCCGCGGGUGAUGCUCACCAUCACCUUGGCUCUCGGCUUCCUCUCACCCUUCCGAGCAACCACACCGCAGCCCCUCCCCGCAUACCCACGACCACACUCUGCCUGCAGCAGACAACGCUGCUGCCGCCUCGGAGCCUCCCUCCCAGGCAAGGCAGAAAGGAACAGGAGAGCCCCUGGAUCGGCAUGCCGCUCCUCGCCCGGAGGUGGCACCCUCUGAGUGCCGCCCGCACGUGCAGCCCUAAGAGGCCUCUGCAGCAGAGCCUCCGUGUCACAGACUGCACGCAGCACCUACCCCCACCCCGCUGGAUGCCUCCCCCCUUUCUCAGUGACUGCCCUAGUUGAAAUAGCCCCACCUGCACCCCAGUCUUCUGCUGCCUCUGCUUAGAGCACUUGCCCAAAUUCAGUAACGUAUUUGGUGUGCUCUGUCUCCCCCGUGAGCUCCGUGAGGCCAGUAGUCAGUGCUGUGUCCUGUGCUUCUCCCUAGAACAGACUUUACAGUGGGUAUUCAGGGAACGUGUUCAAGAGGGGAAGCUAGACCACAGGUAGUCAGGCUUUUUCUACUGUUGCUUUUUCCAAGCAUUUCCUGCCUUGUCUUUACCCAUGAAAGUGAAGAGUCAGCAGUACCUGGUGGCCCAUGCAGCAUGAGAGAGGGCUGAGAGUCAAGCCCCAUACCCCAGUGGGCCUCUGGGCAGGACGGGGAGAAUCCAUCAGUCCUCACAGGGAGCCCGUCUGUGCCUCCAUCUCCUGCUCAGAGUGGUGAGCGGAAAUGAGCCCAGACUUGGGGCUCUUUACAGAAUAAGGAAUACUAAUGCCUCCAGACUGGACGGAAUCAUCAAGGAAGUUGGUGUAGGUGCAGAAACAAAUACUGGGGCCUCAAAAAGGAGAGGGAGAUGAGAGGCUUGGAGAGAGAAGCUGGUACCAUAGAAGGACAUCCCAAGAGGAUGCAGUUCAGACAGAAUUGAUGAGGGAGAUGGGCAAGAAUGAGCACAUGAUGACCAUGUGUGUUUCUACAGCACAGGCUACCUGGGUUGCUCGACCUUUGGAGUUGUUUCCCUGCAGAGGGUGGGUCUGUGACCAGCUUCAGGGCCCUGUGUCAGGAAUGAGGAGUGAGAGUGGUAGCCCACAGCAGGGUGCAGGCUCUAGGGGCUGGGCCCUUCAGGGCGAUGCUUGCUGGACACCAUGAGCUCACUCUGCCUUGGGGUCAGCAUCUUGCCUCUCUGUGCUGCAGCUGGGACUCAGGAGCCUCUGUCUCCAAGGCUGACUUUCCCUCUCCUUGGGUCCAGGAUCAGGGAAUGCAGCAUUAACCCCCGAGACCUGGCAAUACCAGGGUCUCGCCAGCUUCUGGCUGGGGAGGUGCCUGACGGGGAGAUGGGUCCUUGGAGCUAACUCCUCUGUGUGCUUACCCAUAUCCUUGCUGGUCUCCAGGGCCCAGCCACACCCAGCUUCAGAGUUUGCCCCAAGGAGGCAGUGAUGAAGACCUCUGCUCCAGGACCACCCCCCAGGCCUGUGUGCCAGACGCUCCUGCUGUCUAUGGCCCUUUCUGCAGCAGUGCUGAGCUGACAGCCGUUCACCCUUCCCAUCGGCAGCCAGAGAGCACCCAGAAGUGGACCUGAGAAACAGAUGUGACCAGCAUGAGCGGAGGCAGGUGUUAAACAGAUGGCCAGGGGCCCUUGUGAGUAUCUUGAGCAGAGAAUGAUCGGAGAAUCCACCACAUUUGCUCAGGAACAAAGGCUGAUGAUAACUCUUGUUUUAAAGACCACUGUGGAGCAAGUUGAUGGAGUAGGCAGCUCCAGGCAUCUGUGCUUCCACAUAAACCUCCAAGAAACCAAGCAGAAACUCCGAGUCAACCGUUGGAAAUGAUUAUCAGAAGUUUACAGCAACCAAGAAAGCGUUGAAUCAAGAAAAAUACAACCUAAAGGUGAUAGGAAAAGUUUGUGGUGUUUUUGCUUGCCUACUUCCUAGCGUCCAUCUGUCUCAGUGGUAUUCGUGAAGCAAACAGCCUGUGUUCCCUGGUUGCAGAGGAGCAGAUCAGAUCUUACUCAGAAUGUGUGUGUGUUCUUACCUGGUCAGGGCUACCUGAAGGAUUGGUGCAGGAUGCUUAUAUCUUCUUUGUCUAACUCAGAACUUAGAGCAGAAAAGUAGGUAGACACAAAAACAUUGUGGGGCCACCGGUUACACAUUGGAUUUGUUUUCUGUCACUAUAACAAAAUCCCUGAGGCUAGGUAACUUUAAAAGAAAAAAAAAUUUUUUUUUGUUUUGUUUUAUUUGAAAGAUACCUUUCAUCUGUUAGUUCGUGCCCCAGAUGCCCACAACAGCCAGGGCUGGGCCAGGCUGAGUCCAGGAGCCUAGAAGUCAACCUGGGUCUCCCACGUGGGUUGAAAGGGACCCAACUAUUUGAGCCAUUACCUGCUGCCUGCCAGGGUCUGCAUUAACAGGAAACUGAAAUUGGGAACAGAGUCAGAACGUGAACCUAGGCACUCUGCUCUGGGAUGCAGGCAUCCCAAGUGACAUCUUAACCUUUGUGUUAAAAAAAAAAAAAAAAAAAAAGAUUUCAUUAGGUCACAGUU